rnacentral:rRNA from 1 species
AUUGAACGCUGGCGGCAUGCCUUACACAUGCAAGUCGAACGGCAGCGCGGACUUCGGUCUGGCGGCGAGUGGCGAACGGGUGAGUAACAUAUCGGAACGUGCCCUGGAGUGGGGGAUAACUAGUCGAAAGACUAGCUAAUACCGCAUACGAUCUACGGCUGAAAGUGGGGGAUCGCAAGACCUCAUGCCCGUGGAGCGGCCGAGAUCUGCUUAGCUGGUUGGUGGGGUAAAGGCCUACCAAGGCAUCGAUCAGUAGCUGGUCUGAGAGGACGACCAGCCACACUGGGACUGAGACACGGCCCAGACUCCUACGGGAGGCAGCAGUGGGGAAUUUUGGACAAUGGGGGCAACCCUGAUCCAGCAAUGCCGCGUGAGUGAAGAAGGCCUUCGGGUUGUAAAGCUCUUUUGUCAGGGAAGAAACGGUCCGGGCUAAUAUCCUGGGCUAAUGACGGUACCUGAAGAAUAAGCACCGGCUAACUACGUGCCAGCCGCCGCUGUAAGAC